rnacentral:rRNA from 1 species
GAUGAACGCUGGCGGCGUGCCUAACACAUGCAAGUCGAGCGAGGGUUUGCUCAGUAUUGAGUAUUCUAAGUCUAGAAUGUUCAAUUCUGAGCAAAACCAAGCGGCGGACGGGUGAGUAACGCGUGGGUAACCUGCCCUAUACACAUGGAUAACAUACUGAAAAGUUUACUAAUACAUGAUAAUAUAUAUUUGCGGCAUCGCAGAUAUAUCAAAGUGUUAGCGGUAUAGGAUGGACCCGCGUCUGAUUAGCUAGUUGGUGAGAUAACUGCCCACCAAGGCGACGAUCAGUAGCCGACCUGAGAGGGUGAUCGGCCACAUUGGAACUGAGACACGGUCCAAACUCCUACGGGAGGCAGCAGUGGGGAAUAUUGCACAAUGGGCGAAAGCCUGAUGCAGCAACGCCGCGUGAACGAUGAAGGUCUUCGGAUCGUAAAGUUCUGUUGCAGGGGAAGAUAAUGACGGUACCCU